rnacentral:rRNA from 1 species
UACGGAGGGGGUUAGCGUUGCUCGGAAUGACUGGGCGUAAAGCGCGCGUAGGCGGAUCAGGAAGUUGGGGGUGAAAUCCCGGGGCUCAACCCCGGAAUGGCCUUCAAAACUCCUGGUCUUGAGUUCGAGAGAGGUGAGUGGAAUUCCGAGUGUAGAGGUGAAAUUCGUAGAUAUUCGGAGGAACACCAGUGGCGAAGGCGGCUCACUGGCUCGACACUGACGCUGAGGUGCGAAAGCGUGGGGAGCAAACAGG